UUUAUUGACUGUUUAUGAUUGAUGAUAAAAACAAUAAAUAUUUGCGUGUUUUUAUCAUCAAUCAUAAACAUUCAAUAAA